rnacentral:lncRNA from 1 species
CCCCGGUCCUGGCCCACCCCGCCGCUGUCACCGGGGCCCUGGCUUGGGUUGCGGGUGGCGUAAGGAGACGAGGCGCCCGGAGAAGAGUCCUGGGAACCGCAAGGCCGCGCUCCCGCAGGCCCAGCCCUGCCUUUCUCCCACGCGCACGCAUGAUCACAUCCGGGCCCCGCGCACCUGCCUCCAGGACCGCGGGGACCUCCCGGAGACCUCCCUCCCUUUGGCCUGGAGGACCCCUCUCUCCCCGCAGCCUGGGCACAGAAGAGAGCACAGGGGCAUCUGGAGGUCAAGGGUGCUGCAUCUCACUGAAGAGUUCUUCUGUGCCUGGAAGACUUAUUUUCAGUCUGAGAAGAAUGAUUUUUCAAUGGUUCUGUUGAACAUGCAAUUCUCACUGAAAGCACCAGAUUUCCGCGUAGGAGGGACUCGGGGGCAACGAUGCAAUUGGAAGAACUGCACCGAAAAUGACGAUGUCUUCUCAUGCAUAUGAAUUAUCCAAAGUGUAGGAAGAUGCGCCCCCACUGGAGUACGCUGAAGCCUUUAACCCAAGUACAUUUAAUGCUGCGAAGCCCCGAGUGAGGCAAAGGUGUCUUUUUAUUUUAGAAGACAUUUAGGACAGUUCAUGUCACUCUGCACAGAUGCACUGAAAUUGAUUGUGGGGCAAACUAUAAAGAGAGCUUAUGCUCCCCAAAUCUGUUUCCGAGCCAGGUAGGAUGAUGAAUUCUGAGGUGGGACUGAGGGGGAACGGUGGCAGCUCUCUCCCCUGCACGCACCGGCCAACUACUUCCCCGUUUGGACAUUGGCGUGACACCCUCCUUCCCUGUUCAUCUGUGAAAAUGUGCAGCGUUUUCAUUUAAAACCUCCUGCUCCAACAUGGGGCCUUCUGCAGACCGCAGGGACCCCCAACAAUUACUUGUUGGAAGAACAAAUGAAGCAUAAAGCAUGAUACUUUAUUUUAAACAUACAGGUGGCACAAAUUUAUUUCCAAAGAUUUAAGCACCUGAUGACUUCUCCUUAGAGAAAAAGCAAUAAAAGGAGCCUCUUCUGUCACAAAUUUCCACUUAGCAUGGUUUGUGCAGAGGCAGAAUUUCAGGCUUUUACCACUGAGCUCUGGACAUGAAGCAAAGCUAACACUAGAGGGUGCUAUAGAUUAGGAAAUCCAGGGACCAUGGGCGCCGGAGCGCGUUCAAGACGCUGCCCUCCCGAUUGUAACCUAACAAACUGAGCGUGUCACUUUGCCAGAAUUUACCCCUUCACCAUUUCUGCUAUGAUGAAAUUAUCCAGAUAUGUUUAAUUUGAAAUUUUAACUUAGUCUGUGAUUAUGUGGAAUUUCAACACUGGCUGUGGCCCAGUGCAGUGGCUCACUCACACCUGUAAUCCCAGUGCUUUGGGAGGCCAAGUCUGGUGGAUAAUUUGUGGUCAGGAGUUCGAAACCAGCCUGGCCAACAUGGUGAAACCCUGUCUCUCCUAAAAAUACAGAAAUUAGCCUGGUGCCUGUAAUCCCAGCUACUCGGGAGGCUGAGGCAGGAGAAUUGCUUGAACCCUCAGGAGGCAGAGGUUGCAGUGAGCCGAGAUCACGCCACUGCACUCCAGUCCUGUCUAAAAAAAAAAAAAAAAAAAAAAAGGACUGAGCCCAGGUCUGUAGGAUAGACACUUUGUGUUUGUAUCUUAAGUACUUUGCGAUCUCACCCUUACAAACCUGAUACUAAAUUCCACUUACCUACUUCAGUCCUUCUCUGAGGGAAGGUGGAGUUUGGAGGCAAUUUUAGGAAGCAGGAUGAGGAAACAGGGAAGGUGACACAGUGAAGGACAAGCCAACACAAGGGUGGAUUACCAAGGCUGGUCCCCUCUACAGGCACCCAGGGCUCGGUCCCACGCGGACUGCUGAGUAGACAGAAGACCUUUCAGAAUCUUCUGCCUCUCCCCCAUUUGCUGAGAGUUCCCUGGGAACGGUAACCCCCGUACCUUCGGGCUGAACAUAUGUUUGCAUGCUGAAUGGGCUCUUUCUGCCAUCCCAUGCCACAGCAUUCAGGAAGCCCUGGGGCCAAAGCAAACAGCAUGCUUGAGGCAAGGUGCUGUGAGGCCCAAAUGAGCUGAAGCUUGCACAAAACUGCUCACCACUGCCAUAGCUGAAUCAGCGGAGGCCAGGAGGAUGCGAGGCGGUGCCCGUGAUUGUCUGAUCAUCUCCCUCUUGGACCGCUGAGACUCAGGCAUGCCCUGCAUCAAAUCCAACCUGUCACCAGGUCUUCAAGGGGGAGGCCUGCGGAAAUCCUACUGUGAAUGAAACUACAGUUGCUAUUCAUCGUCUCCCUCCUGCACCUACCACUCCAGAUGUCCCUCACUCUUGGCCAGCACUUUGGCUUGUUUAAGUUGUGUGCCAGUUCCAGGAACAAAGUCACUCACUGUCCUGUGGGUAGUCUCCGAGUCUCUGCGAGGACCCACUGCACGGCAGGAGCUAGUCUCAGACUGAGGUGAGUUCUCGGCAGCAGAAGGCACCACCGCACUCCCAAGGGCUAAAGGUUUACCCUGCACCUCUCCUACUGAAGCUUGCAGAGGGUUGGCAUGGCAGCCUUCUUCAUCAUAGGAGACUCUAAGACUGCUACUUUUGGCUCCUCUGGGUUGUGCAGCUUGAGUGGAAGAGCAGAUCCUCUCACAGCCUAGACCUCCUGGCCAGCCGUUUCUUGCCCUAGACUCCACUCCGAGUGGCAGUCUCCCAAGCUGUCUAAUAGGCGUAUGGGAGAAGUAUCAGCAAGUAUGCUACUUCUAAUGUCCCAGGUGGUGCACCCAGCACUGUGCCUCUUCCCUAGUGCAGCUGAAGGAAAGCUGCCACUGCCUGUGCCUUCCUUUACAAGGGUUGUCCUGGCAUGUGUCAGACCACUGGGUCCCCUAACAACCUUGCCAAUGUGCCAGUCCUCUGAAUGUUUCUGGGCUUUAGCCCCUGCCCUUGGCUUGCACGUGUCUUCUUCCUAGGACAUCCGGGGUGCUUGUGUCAUAUGCUGGUAGCAUAAUGUCAUCAACAGUGCACCAGUGUGCUGUGCAAACUAUCCCGAGACAGCCUGUAUGCAUGCAAAGUAUGCUCAAAAGUACCCAAGGCCGAGGCGUGGCAGCUCAUGCCUAUAAUUCCAGCACUUUGGGAGGCUGAGACUGGUGGAUCACUUAAGCCUAGGAGUUUGAGACUAGCCUGAGCAAAAUAGUGAGACCCUAUCUCAACUGAAAACAAAAAAAGAAAAAGAAAAAGAAAUUAGCUAGGUGUGGUGAUAUGCGCCUGUGGUCCCAGCUACUGGGAGGCUGAGGUGGGAGAAUUCAUUGAGCCCUGGAGGCUGAGGCUACAGUAAGCUGUGACUGCACUAUUGCACUCCAGCCUGGAUGACACAGCAAGACUCUGUCUCAAAAUAAAUAAAUUUAUUUAUUAAUACCACAUCAAUCGGUAUUUCCCGAUUUUCAUAAUUGAACUGUGGUUGUAUAAGAGAAUGCCCGUGGCCAGGCGCAGUAGUCCCUGCUACUUGGGGGUUGAGACAGGCGAAACCCCGUCUCCACUAAUAAUAUAAAAAUUAGCAGGUCAUGGUGGCACAUGCCUGUAAUUCCAGUACUCAGGAGGCUGAGGCAGGAGAAUCGCUUGAACCUGGGAGGUGGAGGUUGCAGUGAACCAAGUUUGUGCCACUGCACUCCAGCCUGGACAAUAGUGUGAGACUCCGUCUCAAAUAAAAAUAAAAAUAAAAGAAGUUGCCUGGCUUAGUUGUGCUUACUGGACUCAGAGCCCCACAUGGAGUCUGCUGACCUGUCUUGGGAUUGAAGGGUGAUAGGUGAGAAGGAUGGAGAAUUUGUAAAGGGCCGGCAGUCUCCCUGAUCUGUCUCUUCUAAUUUUGUAGUCGGACUCCUCCUAUUUGGUUCCUGGGCGACCUUCAGUUCUUGAAUUUUAGGGUUCCAAACAACAAGUGUUAAGUGAAGUUUGGGGCCUUUUAAAAGGUGUCAGUGCUUGAAAUUUGAG